rnacentral:lncRNA from 1 species
UUGCAAUGGGAAGCGUGGAUCCAGUUAGGCCUUCCGGCCAAUUUGACAGAGGUAGGGGAGAUCAGGAGAACUUGGAGCGGUCCGUCAAAUCUUGGUUCCAGGGUGUGUUUUCGCACAAAUUUCUUGACCAGAACCCAGUCACCGGGGAGCAGACUGUGGUUGCCUGUGUCAGAAUCAGGAUCUGGAAUUGAAGAGAAAACUUGGGCAUGGAUUUUGUUCAAAGCAUUUUGCGAGUUCAGUUACAUAAUCUACUAAAACAUCAGUUUGAAGUUGUAGUUGUUGGGGAAAAUAGCAACCUAGCCUAGGUGCAGUCCCAAAUAGAAUCUCAUAUGGGGACAGUGAGGUAGUAUUUUUGUACAAGAGCAUUCAUUAGAUCCUUUGAUAAAUGUGCAGGUCUGUGUGCCCAUUGUACGACUGCUGGGUACAAAUUCU